rnacentral:snRNA from 1 species
AGCUUUGCACAGUGGCAGUAUUGUAGCCAAUGAGGUUUAUCUGAGGCACGAUUAUUGCUAAUAGAAUUGGGAUGGAAUCAUCUGGACAGUACUCAACCAGAAUCUGUUGGACUAUGAAACUCCUUUCACCAGGGCAACAAAGGCAAUCAAAGCCAUGUCGGGCAUUUAUAGUAGAUUCUCUAGGGU